UCAUUUUCUGUUAUUGCUGGCUCCACCGCAAGUAAUAAUCCCCGCCACCAAGCCCACUGUGCUUCUCACUGUUUUGAACCGGUAAGGGUUCUCACCUUACCAGUGAGAAAUGUGAGCACCACUUUGACACCAACACCCAUCACGCGAAGAUAGUUACAGCGGUUUGAGUGCAAGAAAAGAAAUAACUUGCCAAACGUAAAAUACGUGCCCACAGGGAAAGCCAGUUGGAAGGGUUGCCAAACUGGAUCGGAACCAUUAGGGUUCGGGUAUUGUCGGGUUCGUCGUAUUCCAAUUAAAACUGCUCAGCUAUUCCAUCAAGCGGUCUGUUCUGUCCUAGACUCCACCAAGAGUCGUAGUGCGCGCCGGGAUUUAAUAUUUAAUUAAUUUGUCCAAGUGAUAAACUAAAAAAAUAGUGAAAGUUGCUAGUUCAUAGGCCAUUGCAUCAGUUGGCCAAGAGAAAGGAUCUAAAAGUUAUUGUUUCGUAGAUCUGAACAAUCUAUUGUGAGAAAAUUAAUGAAAAAGGCCACGUAGAAAAGACAAAAGUUAUAUUGUGUACAUCAAUCAAGAAGAAAGGUCCAGCAAGUGGGCCUUUUUUCUGCUUCUUUGCUUUUUUCGUCUCGCAGAGCCCGAUACGGCGGUAUAAGUGCACUCCAAGGACAGAAGGCGGAUUCCCAGUGGUACGUCAAUCUGCUACAUUCUCACCAUUCGCUGGUCACCCACAACGCCCACGUGGAGGGCGGUGUCCACAGCCCGUGCUUGUGCCUUAAGUGUCCCGCCAUUGACCUCGUUGACCAUUGGUUGGAAUCUGCCAUCGUUACUACGCCAUCAGCCGGGCCCUGGAGCGGCCAGUACCGUUAGCCAUCGUCCGGCAAUCGUGCACGUUCUUUCGGCAUACGCCCUCGCCGCCGGAGCCGCUAUUAUACGCACGCCAUUGCAAACUUCUUUCGGCAAUCAGCAUCGUCGCCGGAUACGCUAUUGUUAGCACGCUUUCGUCCGGGCGCCGGAGCGGCCCACGCCCGUGGCCAUCGUCCGGUCACCGCCAGUCAACCAUCACCAUCGCAGCCCGUGCUCACGGGGUCACUAGCGCCGGCCAUCGAUUCGUUGGCCAAUCCCUCGUCCUUGUGAUCAUCCCGUGCUCGCGUUAAACCGUGAGCUCCGAACAACAGUGCGGCAGUGUUCUCCAAUUAACAUCAGUCCGAAAGCAGAGCGAACCACGGUGUGACGAGAAUCGAUGUCCCGUGAUAACCGUCAUCCAGAGCAGUGCAUCGCCGUCACCGUUAGAGAGGCCAUGAUAGAAAAACGCAAGUACCCUACCCCUAGAAGAAUGACGUCACUAAAAACCUUAAUUUGUAAUAAAUUAGCAUGCUAAGAUAAAAGCAGGGAUUGAACUUAUCAUUUCAUUAUCAUUUAGUAUUCAGCCAAGAACUCGUUCCAGAGGCGGAAUUCCGAAAAGUGUUGUAGGCGGACUUCUAGCGCUGAUUUCCCUCUACAACUUUGUCUAAGGAUACAUUGCUCUAUGUCUA